rnacentral:rRNA from 1 species
CCUACGGGUGGCUGCAGUGAGGAAUAUUGGUCAAUGGGCGGGAGCCUGAACCAGCCAAGCCGCGUGAGGGAAGAAGGUACAGCGUAUUGUAAACCUCUUUUGUCAGGGAACAAAGGCGGGGACUAGUCCCCGGAUGAGGGUACCUGAAGAAAAAGCAUCGGCUAACUCCGUGCCAGCAGCCGCGGUAAUACGGAGGAUGCGAGCGUUAUCCGGAUUUAUUGGGUUUAAAGGGUGCGCAGGCGGCCUGUUCAGUCAGCGGUAAAAUCCCGGGGCUCAACCCCGGCGAGCCGUUGAAACUGGCGGUCUGGAGUUGGAGAGAAGUACGCGGAAUGCGCGGUGUAGCGGUGAAAUGCUUAGAUAUCGCGCAGAACCCCGAUUGCGAAGGCAGCGUACCGGCUCCACACUGACGCUGAGGCACGAAAGCGUGGGUAUCGAACAGGAUUAGAUACCCUUGUAGUC